UGGGGAAUUUUGGACAAUGGGGGCAACCCUGAUCCAGCCAUGCCGCGUGUGUGAAGAAGGCCUUCGGGUUGUAAAGCACUUUCGGCCGGAACGAAAUCGCGUGGGUGAAUAUCCCGCGUGGAUGACGGUACCGGAAGAAGAAGCACCGGCUAACUACGUGCCAGCAGCCGCGGUAAUACGUAGGGUGCGAGCGUUAAUCGGAAUUACUGGGCGUAAAGUGUGCGCAGGCGGCCGAGCAAGUCGAGUGUGAAAGCCCCGAGCUUAACUUGGGAACUGCGCUCGAAACUACUUGGCUAGAGUGUGGCAGAGGGAGGUGGAAUUCCACGUGUAGCGGUGAAAUGCGUAGAGAUGUGGAGGAACACCGAUGGCGAAGGCAGCCUCCUGGGCCAACACUGACGCUCAUGCACGAAAAGCGUGGGGAGCAAAACAGGAUUAGAUACCCUGGUAGUCCACGCCCUAAACGAUGAUGACUAGUUGUUGGAGG
rnacentral:rRNA from 1 species